AUUGAACGCUGGCGGCAGGCCUAACACAUGCAAGUCGAGAGAGCGGCGGACGGGUGAGUAAUGUAUGGGGACCGCAGGAUAGAGGGGGAUAACGACAGGAAACGGUAGCUAAUAACGCAUAAAAUCGGAUAACCCAGAUGGGAUUAGCUAGUCGGUGAGGUAAUGGCUCACCUAGGCGACGAGCCCUAGCUGGUCUGAGAGGAUGAUCAGCAACUCUGGAACUAAGACACGGCCCAGACUCCUACGGAGGCGGCAGUGGGGAAUAUUGCACAAUGGGCGCAAGCCUGAUGCAGCCAUGCCGCGUGUAUGAAGAGGGCCCUAGGGUUGUAAAGUACUUUCAGUCGGGAGGCGUUACCGACAGAAGAAGCCCCGGCUAACUCCGGGCCAGCAGCCGCGGUAAUAC
rnacentral:rRNA from 1 species